AAGAAUUUUUUUUCCAUGUGGCAAAUGAUUUCCGCGGUGAUUCUUGAGGGUGGGAUAUAAAUUGAAUUACAAAUCAAAUGCCACCCAACAAUGCCUCCAUUGAACCGAUAAUUUUUUCUUUUUGUAGAAGAUUAAAUAUAUAUAUAUAUAUAUAUAUAUAUAAUAUUGAAUGAAUUUUGAAGUAUUUGAUGCUGAUCUUUUUGGAUAUCACUCUCUCUCUUUAAUUAUAACCUACCUAAUCCAAUUCAUAGAAAACACUCUUCCAUCUUUUGCACUCACAGACGGCGGCACAACUAGGAUUCGAUUUGAGGAUCCGAUUUCGUCGACGGCGACGCAAGGUUUGUGAACUUUGAGUUCGAUUGUAGGCUAUGUUUCAUCUUAUUAUUUUUUUUUUGUUUCUUUAAAAAAUUAAAUUUACAGUGAGGAAUAUGUCAAUUUUUUUGAGGUUUUGGAACUUGAUUCAAAGAUUCAUGCUUGUGUUGUUUUUUUGAAAGAUUUGUGUUUUAUAAUUGUCCCCUUGUGUUUUUAAACGAAUGUGGGGUCUGUUUGUCAUUUGUUAUGAAUUAUAUAGGCUUUAAAAAUUAUAUGACAUUCUCUUACGAAUCAUGGUUUAGUUGUUAUGAAUUAUUUAUUCUUUGAGAAUUAAAUUACAUUCUCUUAAGAAUUAUGAUCAGUUGUUAUGAAUUAUAUAUUCUUUGAGAAUUAAAUGACAUUCUCUUAAGAAUUAUGGUUCCGUUGGUAUGAAUUCUAUAUGCUUAAGAAUUAUGGUUCAGUUGGUAUGAAUUCUAUAUGGUUAAAAAUUAUAUGACAUUCUCUUACGAAUUAGGAUUUAGUUGAUAUGAAGUAUAUGUGAUGUAUGUAUUAUGGUGAUGAUAUUACCAUUUCAUAUGAAUUGCAUUUGCAUUAAAAAUUGUAUUAUAUUCUCUUACGAAUUAUGAUUUAGUUUCCGAUUGAAUCCAGUAAUCGAUUUUUUUUUUUUUGGGUGCGAAUGUGGGUUUAUGUGCAUGGGUUUUGGAGAGACGAAAUGGCGAAGACGAAGUGUGGAUCUCGAGGUUCAUUACAGUGGGUUUCUUUUUUUACAGUGGAACCUAUCUGCAAUCUUUCUUUCACUCUUAAUUGUUGGAACAUGAGGAUCAUAGCUGCCAAGCAACUGAAGGUAUUGUGCAAUGCCUCUUGGGUGGAAAAAAAAUAUCGCCAGAGAUGCGGUUGCAGUGGGAGCUAAUGCGUACUACGACGAGUUCUUCAAUAACCCCGCUGUAGAUAUUGAUGCUACUUUGCUAGGAGGAUGAACUCAAUGACGCAUAUUUACUUGCAGACUGAAACUUUGGUUAUUUUUUUGUUUAAAGUUGGAUAAUCUUUGGAUCAUUUCAUUAGUUUUGCUUUUCGGAUAUUUGUUGGAAGUUUUGCAUACAUCUGUUAUGUUACGAAUUACACUUUAUUAUGUAAUGAAUUAUACGAAUGGCUUGUGGAAUUAAAAAAGUGUUACGAAUUUUAUAUUA